CUUUCCAGAGCCAAGUUGUUCACCUUCCAACGGGCAAAUUCCCUGGGGGAGAAGCCAAGGGAUAAGGAAAAGCUGAUCUCGUUUCAGAGCAAGAGGCAUAAAAUCUGAAGUACUGCAGGUGCUGCUCUUUUAGCCUGGGCCCCAGAAUAAACACCACUAGAAGAAACACCUAAUGGCCUCCUUGCAGACCAGCAGCGUGAAGCAAAGCUAACCCGGCGAACCUGCACCUGAAUGAGAUCCAGGACUCUGAGGCCCUAAGGAAUGGCAGAGUGAUGAG